rnacentral:rRNA from 1 species
GGACGACCGCUGGCGGCGUGCUUAACACAUGCAAGUCGAACGGAAAGGCCCUGCUUUUGUGGGGUGCUCGAGUGGCGAACGGGUGAGUAACACGUGAGUAACCUGCCCUUGACUUUGGGAUAACUUCAGGAAACUGGGGCUAAUACCGGAUAGGAGCUCCUGCUGCAUGGUGGGGGUUGGAAAGUUUCGGCGGUUGGGGAUGGACUCGCGGCUUAUCAGCUUGUUGGUGGGGUAGUGGCUUACCAAGGCUUUGACGGGUAGCCGACCUGAGAGGGUGACCGGCCACAUUGGGACUGAGAUACGGCCCAGACUCCUACGGGAGGCAGCAGUGGGGAAUAUUGCACAAUGGGCGGAAGCCUGAUGCAGCAACGCCGCGUGCGGGAUGACGGCCUUCGGGUUGUAAACCGCUUUCGCCUGUGACGAAGCGUGAGUGACGGUAAUGGGUAAAGAAGCACCGGCUAACUACGUG